UACGUAGGGGCCUAGCGUUGUCCGGAUUUAUUGGGCGUAAAGAGCUCGUAGGCGGUUCGGCAAGUCGGAUGUGAAAAUCUCCACGCUCAACGUGGAGGGGCCAUUCGAAACUGCCGUGACUCGAGUCCGGUAGGGGAGUGUGGAAUUCCGGUGUAGCGGUGAAAUGCGCAGAUAUCGGGAGGAACACCUAUGGCGAAGGCGGCUCACUGGCUCGUAACUGACGCUCAGGCGCGACAGCGUGGGGAUCAAACAGG
rnacentral:rRNA from 1 species